UCCGAGUUGACCCCGGCAGUCUCCUAUGAGUCCCCGGCAUUACCCGCUGGCAACAUAGAACGAGGGUUGCGCUCGUUGCGGGACUUAACCCAACAUCUCACGACACGAGCUGACGACAACCAUGCACCACCUGUGCACGGCCCUUACGGACCCCCCAUCUCUGGAGGAUUUCCCUGCAUGUCAAACCCAGGUAAGGUUCUUCGCGUUGCCUCGAAUUAAGCCACAUGCUCCGCCGCUUGUGCGGGCCCCCGUCAAUUCCUUUGAGUUUUAGCCUUGCGGCCGUACUCCCCAGGCGGGGCACUUAUUGCGUUAGCGGCGGCACCGAGGGGGUCGAUACCCCCGACACCUAGUGCCCAUCGUUUACGGCGUGGACUAC
rnacentral:misc_RNA from 1 species